rnacentral:tRNA from 1 species
GGGGUUAUAGUUUAAAGUAAAAUAAUAGAUUGUCAUUCUAUAGAAAUAGGUUCAAACCCUAUUAACCUC